UAGGGAAUCUUCGGCAAUGGACGAAAGUCUGACCGAGCAACGCCGCGUGAGUGAAGAAGGUUUUCGGAUCGUAAAACUCUGUUGGUAGAGAAGAACGUUGGUGAGAGUGGAAAGCUCAUCAAGUGACGGUAACUACCCAGAAAGGGACGGCUAACUACUUGCAAG
rnacentral:rRNA from 1 species